CAUGGUCUACUUGAAUUCAACCUCUUAUAGUAACAAAGGAUAUGAUCAAAGAAGCUCUUAUAGUAACAAGGGAUAUGAAACAAACAGGUAAAAUUCACAGAAUCAAGUAAAUAAUAACUUCAUAGAGCUAAGAAUUGGUAAACGCAACAAAAAUAAAACCAAAACAUAUUAUGAACCAAAAUAACAAAUCAGACAUCCCAUUAACACAUAAAAGAAUGUGCACUAGAUAGGCAUUGUCAUUAUAAUCCUUCCAAUUCCAUAAUUCCUAGCAUUCUUUACAGUCAUACAUGUUAGCAGAACACCCAUGGCGAAAAGAUUCACUCUACUUUGAAUUAUAAGCCGUGUAGAUAAAACUACCCAGAUGAGAGAAUAAAAAAGAAAAAGAAGACGAAGACGAAGAAAAUGUCAAAUCAAGAAUUACCCAUUUACAGGAAAACCUCAAGGACCCGACCCAAAAUGAGAAACCAAUCCUCUAACCGACCUUGAAUGCUAUAUCCAUCAAUCCAGUAAUUUUGCAUCCACCAAAGAAUCAAUCCAAUAAACCACCUUCCAAAGAAUCCAUUGCAUAAAAUUGAUACCACUGAAAAGGAAUCAAGAAGAGCAAUUUUCAUAUCUAUCUUUGAUCUUCUAAAGCUGCCUUCUUUUGUAAACCAAGAACCAAACAACACCAAUCUGCAAGAUUGCAGCAAUGCCCACAAACAGUAACCCAAUCGCUUUCCCUGCGUUCAUGUUGUUAUUCUUCAUUGGUGGUGGUGGUUUUCUUCUCCUUCUAUUCUCAUUUACGGUCAAUCUAUGCCUCGGUGGCGGGGGUAACUGCAGCUUCUUUCUCGGUGGAGGUGGAGGUGGCGAUGAUCGUGAUAGUGAUGGAGGAGGUAGUGACGGUGAUGGUGGUGGAGGAGGAGGAGGAGGAGGAGGGGGAGGUGGUGGUGGUGGUGGAGGAGGUGGUGGAGGGGACAUCAAUGGGGCUGAUGAACGGCCAUUUAGUGGUUGUGAUUCAACAAGAAGCGAAUAGAAGGUUAAUAUAAGCCCUAAAAUCAGAGAGGUGGGGGUGAUUGAUGAUUUCGUUUCCAUGAAUCAGGAAAUUGGAUUGGAUUGGAUUGGAUAGUUCAAGGGGUUUUAGCAUCCCAGAUUCUCGAGUUUGUAAUAAUCUAGUUAAAAUUCAAGAAUUUGGGCUCAUUCAAGAUUUGGGAAGCAGGGAGGGGGUUAGUGUUCAGUCAUUUUGGAAUCCAAUUAAAAGUCGGACACUUGAUUGAUGAAAUCUGUUUGUUUGAGAUGAUCGAGUAUGUUUCUGUCGUCUUUCUCAGGAGGAAUGCAGGAGAGAGAGAAAGUGACAGGGGGUAAUCAAGAAACAGAGAUUUUAACAAAUGAAAGGAGGAAGAGGGGGGAGGAGUUCUCUCUUUCUGUGUGCGGACAUGACCUGUCAAUGAGAAACUAAAACCUUUUCAAAAUAGUCAGCCACUAACCAGACAGAGGGUAGGCUGACUUUUGGAUUUUUCUAGUUGAUGAUAGCCAAGGCCAUUUUAGGCCUCAUAGCGGUAAAUAAGUUUUACUUUAUUACCAUAUUUAACUAUUUAUUUUAUUAGGUGGCAUUUGUUUUCCAUUUUCG
rnacentral:lncRNA from 1 species